CCUACGGGCGGCAGCAGUGGGGAAUAUUGCACAAUGGGCGCAAGCCUGAUGCAGCCAUGCCGCGUGUGUGAAGAAGGCCUUCGGGUUGUAAAGCACUUUCAGCGGGGAGGAAGGCGGUGAGGUUAAUAACCUCAUCGAUUGACGUUACCCGCAGAAGAAGCACCGGCUAACUCCGUGCCAGCAGCCGCGGUAAUACGGAGGGUGCAAGCGUUAAUCGGAAUUACUGGGCGUAAAGCGCACGCAGGCGGUCUGUCAAGUCGGAUGUGAAAUCCCCGGGCUCAACCUGGGAACUGCAUUCGAAACUGGCAGGCUAGAGUCUUGUAGAGGGGGGUAGAAUUCCAGGUGUAGCGGUGAAAUGCGUAGAGAUCUGGAGGAAUGCCGGUGGCGAAGGCGGCCCCCUGGACAAAGACUGACGCUCAGGUGCGAAAGCGUGGGGAGCAAACAGGAUUAGAUACCCUUGUAGUC
rnacentral:rRNA from 1 species